AGCAAGCGAGACAAGGUGAAGCCGUCCGUGAUGGCCAACUGCAGUCAUUCUGACAACACAGCCCCAGCUCCCGCCCAUUCUCCCUUUUUUCCCUCACCAACCCAGGCAGGUGCCUUCGUCUCUCCCCGGGACUCUGGAAAAUGCCUCCUGAUUGGGUUCUCUGGCUUGGUUUCCCCUCUCUCCAAUCCACCUUGAAGCAAGCACUGUCCACAGUUUAUCUUCCACAAAUGUCCGAGCACAUGUACUGAUGCAGGGAAGGAGCCGGUGUGGGGGAGAAUUUGCAGAGAGGAGAGGUAAGUUACAAAGCAAGACCCCAGAGGAAAUGAGAAAUGUUACAAAAACUCCAUACGGAAGAGCAAGCUUUGGAAGGGAGCAUUUAUUUCUUCUCUCAAAAUUUCAAGAGAGGAGGAAAAGAGGAAGGGAGAGCGAAGAGACAUAACAACUUGAGAUUUCGAAGAAGGAAAUUUCUGCAAACUAUUCCUCUGAAUUUGAUUGUUGGUUUGCUUUGGAGCUUGGAAGUGGAGAAGGCUCAGGGCCACCCUUGUGGGAAUGAGACAGGAAAUGGCUCUGAUGAACAGAGGAACGCUGAGCAGGUCCGAGGGAGGAAAGCUGCCCAGCGCGAAUCUGUCAGGGAGCCAGCUGGCAUGGCUUCCCCGGCAACUCUGAUGAAGCCAGCGCAGAGCCCAGGGAAGCAAUGGCCCAGGGGUACAAGCUGUAAGGAGCAGUGCAGGUCUUUGGGCUCUGGGAUAUGGGGCCUGGUAUCAUUCAGGCCGCUGACCAGGCUCUGAGGGCGAUGAGGGUUGACGGACUGAGGGACUAUGGAGAGACAAAGGGAGAAGAUGUCCUGCUGAGAACCAAGAAUAGAUGUUGCAAAGGACCAGAAAGGCUGAAGAUGAGAUGAAGAUGUGUGAGCUGCGCUGGAGAGGCAGUUAGGUACUGCCAGUCUUUGGCCCGAAUGUUGCCUUCUGGUGAGCUAACCCUUCUCCCACAGCCCAGCCCAGCCCAGCCCUUCCCUUAUUAAAAGAACGAUGGUGUCUCCUAACUCCACUGUGAUGGAGCAGGCACAUGCUCCUCCUCAGCAAUGCUCCUAAGCUGUCGUUUCCCAGCACCCCAUUGGGCUGAGCAGAAUUCUCUGAGUGUUUCCUGCUAAGAGCACACAAAGUGCACUGUCCCUGAGGAUGGCCCCACUCAUCUGCCACGAGUGUCUAAAUGGAGUUAGCACUUCCUGGAGCCACAUCAGUGACCGGGUCACAUGGGCUCCCUGGCCACUCAUUCUCCCUGCUCACUGAGCCAAGGGUCCCUGUCCUGCACCUGUGUGCUGACCAACACAAGGGCAGGGUCUGACAUCCACCUCGGCAGGUUUCAGGAUUUGAGUUCUCACUCAUCAUCCUGUCCAGCUGUUAUCCUUUGUCACCGCAAACAGGGAAUGCAUUAGCCACUCGUUCUGAGUACAAAGGCCAGAGUAUCACCGAAAGAACUUCCCUCAGAGCUGAUACUGAUCUUUUAAUCCAUGCUCCUCUGUUUAUUCAGUCAGUCACAGUAAACAGACUGCAGAGCAGGACCACAGUGACGUGCACAUUCCCUGACCUGCCUGGAAUUUGCAGUUCUGGAAGAGACGGCGAUGAACGUGGUGAGAGAAGAAAUGCAGGUGCUCUGUCAUCUGUGAGGAACAGACACCCUCACUCUGCAGUAGGGACGCCCUGAGGACUGAAGUCAGUUGGAUCCGAGAAUAAAGGGUGAGCAGCACUAAGGCAGAAGAGCAGGGGAGAAGAGAGGCCUCCGAGAGGCACGCGUGAGGAAAGGAGGCACACAGCUCCAGGAGCACUGAGGGUCACAGCCAGGGGACGCAGAGGGGAGAGAAAGGUGUGGGACAAAGGGCACAGCCCUGCGAGUCACGUGGCGAGGCCACUGGAGGGCUCCUCCCGGAGGGGGGGAAGUGGUGUGUGCACACGUGAGGUCACGGUGGCCUCCCCGUGUGUGAGGUGGAGGAGAUCAGAGGAUGCAGCACAGUGCCCAGGACAGGGAAAGGAUGAGGAUGGAGCAGUGUAGACACUCACACCUUCCCGGGCAGGAAGUAACUGGACACAAGGGACAAGGAAGAGGAAGCAAUGUGGAUGGACAACUCUCAGGUUUUGGCUUGGGUGUCAAUGUCGUGAGUGGGUAGCUUCCUGGGAGGGAGCCUGCAGCGGACACAGCACUGCACCUGAGGUGGACACUGGCUUCCUUCCAAAGGGGCCUGAGAGACAGCUAUGUCCAGACAUCCAGAAAGCAGCCAGACCCGGGACUCCGGGGCACCAGGAAGAAUGAGCCAGCGACAGAGGUUCAGCUCUGCUAGCCCCAGCCCUGGCUGCAAACUGGAACCACCUGGGCGGAGAAGCAGAGUUCUGGAGAGUCCCAAGAUAGCAGGGUAUGGAUGAUCUGAUCAGAUUCCUGCACUUUAUAAGAAACUGAAGCACAGAGAGGUUUCUGUACUACGUUCAAAUGGAGGCCGCUACUGACGUCGGGACUAAGGCUAGCUCCCGCUUCUCUGUUUCGUGGCAGUGUGCUCUGCAGUCUCUCAUGGGGUCUACAAGUCAGAGAGAUGGGGAGGUGCUGGAGGAUCAGCCUUCGAAUUCUCUCAUGGCAGAUGAAGACAGUGCAGCCCAGAGAGCUGACACAGGCAUCGAAGGAGACGCCUUUUCAGUAGAUUUAGUCUUCUUUUGUUAAUUGUGGUUAGAAAUAAGGGUAUACUUUUAAUUAAAAGUGAUUAUUAAAUCAA